GCCCGGUUAGCUCAGUUGGUCAGAGCAUUGUGCUAAUAUCAUAAUCAGAUACAAACGCAAGGGUCGCAGGUUCGAGCCCUGCAUUGGGCA